ensembl:misc_RNA 7SK 7SK RNA
AGAUGUGAGGGCCAUCUCGCUCAGAUUAUCUGUCACCCCAUUGAUUUCCAGGGUUGAUUUGGCUGAUCUAGUAGGCUAGGUGUGUGUCCCCUUCCUCCUUCACCACCCUAUGUUCAUCUUUCCUGAAGCUGCCUACUCGAUCUGAAGAGGAUGACCAGAAUUCCCCACUAGGGGACCAUUGUGUAGUCAAGGAUAUAUUAAUAGCUACACUGCCCAGCUAGAACCUCCAAACAAGCUCUCAAAUACAUAUGCUUAAUAAAUGCUUCACCAGGAACUACAAAAAUAUUUAAGAGAAGUUU